GCAAAAUAGCUAGCCUGAAUACAAACAGUAAAAAAUAAACAUAAAUAAUCAGAAAAAGUUAACAAACUAAAACAUUUUUCCACCCAAGUAUGGGCGACAGAAAAGGAAUUAUCAGAGCCAUAGAAAAAGUACCGCAAGGGAAAGCUGAAAAAGAAAUGAAAUAACCCAGUAAAGCACCAAAAAGCAGAGACAAACCCUCGUACCUUUUGCAUCAUGAUUUAGCAAGUAACCCCGAGCAAAGAGAACUUUAGUCCGAACCCCCGAAACCAGGGGAGCUACUACGGGGCAGCCUAAAAGAGCCAACCCGUCUCUGUAGCAAAAGAGUGGGAAGACCCCCUAGUAGAGGUGAUAAGCCUAUCGAACCUGGUUAUAGCUGGUUGCUUAAGAAAUGAAUGUUAGUUCAGCCUUAUAUAAUUCUAAAGCUACACCCCCACCAAUAAAGGAAGAGAAAUGUAUAAGAGUUAGUCAAAGGGGGUACAGCCCCUUUGAAAAAGGACACAACCUUAGUAAGGAGGACAAGGAUCAAAUAGUAAAAGGAACUCUGCCCCAGUGGGCCUGAAGGCAGCCAACUGAAAAGAAAGCGUUAAAGCUCUAGCAGGAAAAUCCCCAUAAUAAGGAUAAAUAAAUCCCAAUCCCCAAAUGUUAUUAAGCCACCCUAUAUUCAUAUAGUGAAGAUUAUGCUAAAAUUAGUAAUAAGAAGAGUAUUCACUCCUCUCCCAGCACAAUUGUAAGUUAGAAAGGACCAACCACUGACAACUAACGGACCCAAAAUAGAGGGUCAAGUAAAAACUAAACAAAUCAAGAAAACCCUACACCAAAUACCGUUAACCCGACACAGGAGUGCUACUAAGGAAAGACUAAAAGGAGAAGAAGGAACUCGGCAAACACAAACCCCGCCUGUUUACCAAAAACAUCGCCUCUCGCUAAAAAGAAGUAUUAGAGGUCCAGCCUGCCCUGUGACAAUGUGUUUAACGGCCACGGUAUUUUAACCGCGCAAAGGUAGCGUAAUCAUUUGUCUUUUAAAUGAAGACCUGUAUGAACGGCUAAACGAGGGUUUAACUGUCUCCUUCCCCCAGUCAAUGAAAUUGAUCUGCCCGUGCAGAACCGGGCAUAAAAACAUAAGACGAGAAGACCCUAUGGAGCUUUAGGCAAAUAAUCAAACGUACCAAACACCUAAAAACUCGAAAAGAAAAUAGAACGGCAAAAAGUAAAACGCCAAUUGAUUAAAGUGCCUUCGGUUGGGGCGACCAUGGAGGAGAGAUAAGCCUCCACGUGGAACCAAGGGGAAACCCUUAAACCAAGAAAAACCUUUCUAAGCAACAGAAAAUCUGACCAAGAAUUUGACCCAGGAUAAUCCUGAUCAACGAACCAAGUUACCCUAGGGAUAACAGCGCAAUCCUUUCCCAGAGUCCAUAUCGACGAAAGGGCUUACGACCUCGAUGUUGGAUCAGGACAUCCUAAUGGUGCAGCCGCUAUUAAGGGUUCGUUUGUUCAACGAUUAAUAGUCCUACGUGAUCUGAGUUCAGACCGGAGUAAUCCAGGUCGGUUUCUAUCUAUGAAUUUACCUACUCCUAGUACGAAAGGACCGGAGUAGGGGGGCCCAUGCUUAAAGCAAGCCCUGCCUCUACCUGCUGAAAACAAAUAAAGCUGGUAAAGAGAAAAACAACUAUAGCUAAAGAUAAUAGCAU
rnacentral:rRNA from 1 species